UACGUAUGUCGCAAGCGUUAUCCGGAAUUAUUGGGCAUAAAGGGCAUCUAGGCGGCCAGAUAAGUCUGGGGUGAAAACUUGCGGCUCAACCGCAAGCCUGCCCUGGAAACUAUGUGGCUAGAGUACUGGAGAGGUGGACGGAACUGCACGAGUAGAGGUGAAAUGCGUAGAUAUGUGGAGGAAUGCCGAUGAUGAAGAUAGUUCACUGGACGGUAACUGACGCUGAAGUGCGAAAGCGAGGGGAGCAAACAGG
rnacentral:rRNA from 1 species